GAGUAACUUCAUCAACAAAGUCAAUUCCUAACAAGAAAGUUUCAACGCAUCACCGUCAACAGAUAAAUAGUUUAGGUCCGUCAAUCUUCAGGUCAAGAUUUACAUAAUGCAGUUCACCACGAUAUUUUUCAUUGUACUCGUUGCAUUUGCCUGCUUGCAACAGGCUGUGAUGGCUUGCUCAGGUACUGGCACGCCCUGUCAACCCGAUGGCAGUACCAACUGUUGUUCAGGAUUUUGCUACAAACAAGUAGGGUGGGCACGGGGAUACUGCAAACCCCGGUAAACUAUUGAACUACAUAAAUUUUUAUAAGUGAUACCGUAGAAAAUAAAGAAUCAUAGUUAAAAA